rnacentral:rRNA from 1 species
UGGGGAAUAUUGGACAAUGGGCGAAAGCCUGAUCCAGCAAUGCCGCGUGAGUGAAGAAGGCCUUAGGGUUGUAAAGCUCUUUCAGUAGGGAAGAUAAUGACGGUACCUACAGAAGAAGCACCGGCUAACUCCGUGCCAGCAGCCGCGGUAAUACGGAGGGUGCUAGCGUUGUUCGGAAUUACUGGGCGUAAAGCGCGCGUAGGCGGUCUAGUAAGUUGGAAGUGAAAUCCCAGAGCUUAACUCUGGAAUUGCUUUCAAAACUGUUAGACUUGAGAAUGGUAGGGGAAAGUGGAAUUCCUAGUGUAGAGGUGAAAUUCGUAGAUAUUAGGAGGAACACCAGAGGCGAAAGCGGCUUUCUGGACCAUUUCUGACGCUAAGGCGCGAAAGCGUGGGGAGCAAA